rnacentral:rRNA from 1 species
GACGAACGCUGGCGGCGUGCUUAACACAUGCAAGUCGAACGAUGAAGCUAGAGCUUGCUCUGGUGAAUUAGUGGCGAACGGGUGAGUAACACGUGAGUAACCUGCCCCGAACUCUGGGAUAACUGCUGGAAACGGUAGCUAAUACUGGAUACGACCUACGAAGGCAUCUUCUGUAGGUGGAAAGAAUUUCGGUUCGGGAUGGACUCGCGGCCUAUCAGCUUGUUGGUGAGGUAAUGGCUCACCAAGGCGACGAAGGGUAGCCGGCCUGAGAGGGUGACCGGCCAAACUGGGACUGAGACACGGCCCAGACUCCUACGGGAGGCAGCAGUGGGGAAUAUUGCACAAUGGGCGCAAGCCUGAUGCAGCAACGCCGCGUGAGGGAUGACGGCCUUCGGGUUGUAAACCUCUUUUAGUAGGGAAGAAGCGAAAGUGACGGUACCUGCAGAAAAAGCACCGGCUAACUACGUGCCAGCCGCCGCGGUAA